rnacentral:rRNA from 1 species
AUUGAACGCUGGCGGCAGGCCUAACACAUGCAAGUCGAGCGGAUGACGGGAGCUUGCUCCUUGAUUCAGCGGCGGACGGGUGAGUAAUGCCUAGGAAUCUGCCUGGUAGUGGGGGACAACGUUUCGAAAGGAACGCUAAUACCGCAUACGUCCUACGGGAGAAAGCAGGGGACCUUCGGGCCUUGCGCUAUCAGAUGAGCCUAGGUCGGAUUAGCUAGUUGGUGGGGUAAUGGCUCACCAAGGCGACGAUCCGUAACUGGUCUGAGAGGAUGAUCAGUCACACUGGAACUGAGACACGGUCCAGACUCCUACGGGAGGUGGCAGUGGGGAAUAUUGGACAAUGGGCUAAAGCCUGAUCCAGCCAUGCCGCGUGUGUGAAGAAGGUCUUCGGAUUGUAAAGCACUUUAAGUUGGGAGGAAGGGCAGUAAGCUAAUACCUUGCUGUUUUGACGUUACCGACAGAAUAAGCACCGGCUAACUCUGUGCCAGCCGCCGCCGUAA